UACGUAGGGGGCGAGCGUUGUCCGGAAUUACUGGGCGUAAAGGGCGCGUAGGCGGUGUGUCAAGUCAGGCGUGAAAGCCCCGGGCUCAACCUGGGAACCGCGCUUGAGACUGGCACGCUCGAGUUCGGGAGAGGAUGGUGGAAUUCCCAGUGUAGAGGUGAAAUUCGUAGAUAUUGGGAAGAACACCGAUGGCGAAGGCAGCCAUCUGGACCGACACUGACGCUGAGGCGCGAAAGCGUGGGGAGCAAACAGG
rnacentral:rRNA from 1 species